GGGCGGUUAGCUCAGUGGGAGAGCGCUUGCCUUACAAGCAAGAGGUCACUGGUUCAAUCCCGGUACCGCCCACCA
rnacentral:tRNA from 3 species